AGUGAACGCUGGCGGUAGGCCUAACACAUGCAAGUCGAACGGCAGCACAGUAAGAGCUUGCUCUUACGGGUGGCGAGUGGCGGACGGGUGAGGAAUACAUCGGAAUCUACUUUUUCGUGGGGGAUAACGUAGGGAAACUUACGCUAAUACCGCAUACGACCUACGGGUGAAAGCAGGGGAUCUUCGGACCUUGCGCGAUUGAAUGAGCCGAUGUCGGAUUAGCUAGUUGGCGGGGUAAAGGCCCACCAAGGCGACGAUCCGUAGCUGGUCUGAGAGGAUGAUCAGCCACACUGGAACUGAGACACGGUCCAGACUCCUACGGGAGGCAGCAGUGGGGAAUAUUGGACAAUGGGCGAAAGCCUGAUCCAGCAAUACCGCGUGGGUGAAGAAGGCCUUCGGGUUGUAAAGCCCUUUUGUUGGGAAAGAAAAGCAGCAGGUUAAUACCCCGCUGUUCUGACGGUACCCAAAGAAUAAGCACCGGCCAACUUCGUG
rnacentral:rRNA from 1 species